rnacentral:rRNA from 1 species
ACAUACAGCGAACUUGGCAGAGAUGCCUUGGUGCCUUCGGGAACGCUGAGACAGGUGCUGCAUGGCUGUCGUCAGCUCGUGUUGUGAAAUGUUGGGUUAAGUCCCGCAACGAGCGCAACCCUUAUCCUUUGUUGCCAGCGAUUCGGUCGGGAACUCAAAGGAGACUGCCGGUGAUAAACCGGAGGAAGGUGGGGAUGACGUCAAGUCAUCAUGGCCCUUACGAGUAGGGCUACACACGUGCUACAAUGGCGCAUACAAAGAGAAGCGACCUCGCGAGAGCAAGCGGACCUCAUAAAGUGCGUCGUAGUCCGGAUCGGAGUCUGCAACUCGACUCCGUGAAGUCGGAAUCGCUAGUAAUCGUGGAUCAGAAUGCCACGGUGAAUACGUUCCCGGGCCUUGUACACACCGCCCGUCACACCAUGGGAGUGGGUUGCAAAAGAAGUAGGUAGCUUAACCUCCGGGAGGGCGCUUACCACUUUGUGAUUCAUGGCUGGGGUGAAGUCGUAACAAGGUAAGCGUAGCGAG